rnacentral:lncRNA from 1 species
UGCUUCCUGAGAAUGGUCAGAUUUUUCUGGCUCUGGAUAUUUAAUUUUGGACUAAUGGAAAAAAACUAUGAGACUGUCAAAGGUGCUGAGUCUGAGCUGUUAGAAUGGACAAAAGUGAUGACAGUACCUUUCAAAAAUAAAGCAUGCCCUCACUCAGGAUCCAGCACUAGAAAUACACAGGACACCAAGAUUCUGGAAAGAAUUCCCCGUGGACCCAGCAUGCACUAAUAAGGGGGCAACCUGAGCUGUGUCUUUUCCAUCAUAUGAAGGUUAGGUAAGACAGGACUUCCCCUGUAAGACUCAGUGGAGUAAUGCUUGGCCCAGGAGCUUCCCCUUUGGUGACAGGACCUCUAGAAGUUUAAACUCAUCCUACAGAUAUACUACUACACUUCUGAUUUCCUUUCCUUGUAUUUAGGGCUUCAUGUGAUGUAUUUGGGGCUUCAAGCCAUUCUGAGGCUUCUUUAUGAGGGAAUCUGAGGUUCAGCACUCUGAUUUCAUGCAACUGUCCUUAAGAAGAUUUUCUAGGAUAAAUUUGGCCAGGAAAAUAUCCACAGGUACUUCCUUUGCCCCUUUUCAGAUUAGUUUCAAGGACAAGUUAAGAGGCUUCUGUGCCCACUGGCCAUGCACCUACUUGACUAAUUUUGGUGAAUUUCUUAUUAGAAUUUAAAUUCACCCUCAUUUUCUCCAAUAGUCCUUGGUGUCUUCUAAACUAUAUGUAUUUUAAAACCUUUGUUAAAAUUUCUACUUGCUGAAAAUUAAAUAUAUCCUACCACCUUCAUUCCUCGAUUAGCAAAACAGAAAAAAAUGACUAGAGAUGACUCACCUUUGUGAUUUCCGAGUAGGAAGUAUUGUUUCUUAACUGAUUUCUUUUCUUUUUCCACACUAGAGGCCUGGAGCAACAGAACCUGGAUUAGACAUGUACACUUCUCACCAAUUAUGUCUAGUGGGAAAUAUCUUUAAACUUUUGGGCCAAGAGCUUUUAAGUGGACUAAGACAUAUAAGGCAAGGGAAACAACUGCUUAGAGAAAUUCAAAUGCAGAUUAAUUGGGCAAGCAAUCUCCUUUGAGAUUUAUAACUUUCAUCUGGCUACAACCAGAAAUCCU